ACCAGACUCCUACGGGAGGCAGCAGUGGGGGAUAUUGCACAAUGGGGGAAACCCUGAUGCAGCGACGCCGCGUGGGCGAAGAAGUAUUUCGGUAUGUAAAGCCCUAUCAGCAGGGAAGAAGAAAUGACGGUACCUGAGUAAGAAGCCCCGGCUAACUACGUGCCAGCAGCCGCGGUAAUACGUAGGGGGCAAGCGUUAUCCGGAUUUACUGGGUGUAAAGGGGGCGCAGACGGCAGCGCAAGCCAGGAGUGAAAGCCCGGGGCCCAACCCCGGGACUGCUCUUGGAACUGCGCGGCUGGAGUGCAGGAGGGGCAGGCGGAAUUCCUGGUGUAGCGGUGAAAUGCGUAGAUAUCAGGAGGAACACCGGUGGCGAAGGCGGCCUGCUGGACUGCGACUGACGUUGAGGCCCGAAAGCGUGGGGAGCAAACAGGAUUAGAUACCCCAGUA
rnacentral:rRNA from 1 species